AUUGAACGCUGGCGGCAUGCUUUACACAUGCAAGUCGAACGGUAACAGGCCGCAAGGUGCUGACGAGUGGCGAACGGGUGAGUAAUGCAUCGGAACGUGCCCAGUCGUGGGGGAUAACGCAGCGAAAGCUGUGCUAAUACCGCAUACGAUCUAUGGAUGAAAGCGGGGGACCGUAAGGCCUCGCGCGAUUGGAGCGGCCGAUGUCAGAUUAGGUAGUUGGUGGGGUAAAGGCCCACCAAGCCAACGAUCUGUAGCUGGUCUGAGAGGACGACCAGACACACUGGGACUGAGACACGGCCCAGACUCCUACGGGAGGGAGCAGUGGGGAAUUUUGGACAAUGGACGCAAGCCUGAUCCAGCAAUGCCGCGUGCAGGAAGAAGGCCUUCGGGUUGUAAACUGCUUUUGCACGGAACGAAACGGUCUGGGUUAAUACCUCGGGCUAAUGACGGUACCGUAAGAAUAAGCACCGGCUAACUACGUGCCAGCCGCCGCCGUAAGAC
rnacentral:rRNA from 1 species